rnacentral:rRNA from 1 species
GACGAACGCUGGCGGCGCGCUUAACACAUGCAAGUCGAGCGAAGCGGCGGACGGGUGAGUCACACGUGAGUAACCUGCCUUAGACAUUGGGAUAGCCUCGGGAAACCGGGAUUCAUACAAAAUGGUCUAAGAUGGACUCCAGUCCCAUUAGCUAGUUGGUGAGGUAACGGCCCACCAAGGCGACGAUGGGUAGCCGGCCUGAGAGGGUGAACGGCCACAUUUGAACUGGGAAACGGUCCAAACUCUACGGGAUGCAGCAGUGUGGAAUACUGCACAAUGGAGGGAACUCUGAUGCAGCGACGCCGCGUGAACGAAGAAGGCUUUCGAGUCGUAAAGUUCUUUUAGAUGGGAAGCGGUACCAUAAGAAAAAGCCCCGGCUAACUACGUGCCAGCCGCCGCGGUAAUAC